AUCUAUGGCCAUGCCACGCUGAACGCGCCCAAUCUCGUCUGAUCUCGGAAGCUAAGCAGCGUCGGGCCUGAUUAGUACUUGGAUGGGAGACUACUUAGGAAUAACAGAUGCUGCAGGUG
rnacentral:rRNA from 1 species